rnacentral:rRNA from 1 species
AGUGAACGCUGGCGGUAGGCCUAACACAUGCAAGUCGAACGGCAGCACAGUAAGAGCUUGCUCUUACGGGUGGCGACUGGCGGACGGGUGAGGAAUACAUCGGAAUCUUCUUUUUCUUGGGGGAUAACGUAGGGCCACUUACACUAAUACCGCAUACGACCUACGGGUGAAAGCAGGAGAGCUUCGGACCUUGCGCGAUACAAUGAGCCGAUGUCGGAUUAGCUAGUUGGCGGGGUAAAGGCCCACCAAGGCGACGAUCCGUAGCUGGUCUGAGAGGAUGAUCAGCCACACUGGAACUGAGACACGGCCCAGACUCCUACGGGAGGCAGCAGUGGGGAAUAUUGGACAAUGGGCGAAAGCCUGAUCCAGCCAUACCGCGUGGGUGAAGAAGGCCUUCGGGUUGUAAAGCCCUUUUGUUGGGAAAGAAAAGCAGUAGGUUAAUACCCCGCUGUUCUGACGGUACCCAAAGAAUAAGCACCGGCUAACUUCGUG